UUGGGCGUAAGCGAGCGCAGGCGGUUUUCUAAGUCUGAUGUGAAAGCCUUCGGCUUAACCGAAGAAGGGCAUCGGAAACUGGAUGACUUGAGUGCAGAAGAGGGCAGUGGAACUCCAUGUGUAGCGGUGGAAUGCGUAGAUAUAUGGAAGAACACCAGUGGCGAAGGCGGCUGCCUAGUCUGCAACUGACGCCGAGGCUCGAAAGCAUGGGUAGCGAACAGGAUUAGAUACCCUGGUAGUCCAUGCCGUAAACGAUGAGUGCUAGGUGUUGGAGGGUUUCCGCCCUUCAGUGCCGCAGCUAACGCAAUAAGCACUCCGCCUGGGGAGUAUGACCGCAAGGUUGAAACUCAAAGGAAUUGACGGGGGCCCGCACAAGCGGUGGAGCAUGUGGUUUAAUUCGAAGCUACGCGAAGAACCUUACCAGGUCUUGACAUCUUGCGCUAACCUAAGAGAUUAGGCGUUCCCUUCGGGGACGCAAUGACAGGUGGUGCAUGGUCGUCGUCAGCUCGUGUCGUGAGAUGUUGGGUUAAGUCCCGCAACGAGCGCAACCCUUGUUACUAGUUGCCAGCAUUCAGUUGGGCACUCUAGUGAGACUGCCGGUGACAAACCGGAGGAAGGUGGGGACGACGUCAGAUCAUCAUGCCCCUUAUGACCUGGGCUAC
rnacentral:rRNA from 1 species